UACGUAGGGGGCGAGCGUUGUCCGGAUUUAUUGGGCGUAAAGAGCGUGUAGGCGGUUCGGUAAGUCUGUCGUGAAAUCCUGAGGCUCAACCUCGGGCGUGCGAUGGAUACUGCCGGGCUAGAGGGUGGUAGAGGCGAGUGGAAUUCCCGGUGUAGCGGUGAAAUGCGUAGAUAUCUGGAGGAACACCGGUGGCGAAGGCGGCAUCCUGGACCGACACUGACACUGAGGAGCGAAAGCCAGGGGAGCAAACGGG
rnacentral:rRNA from 1 species